rnacentral:rRNA from 1 species
GGGCCCGCACAAGCGGUGGAGCAUGUGGUUUAAUUCGACGCAACGCGAAGAACCUUACCAGGGCUUGACAUCUACAGAAUCUUUGGGAAACCAAGGAGUGCCUUUCGGGGAACUGUAAGACAGGUGGUGCA